AUGGGAGGCGCUGCAGUCGGUCCGGGUCGCGCGGACGUCGGGGUGGAUGCAGUGCGCCGGCGACGGCCCCGUUGUCCUCGACUCAUCAGAUCCAACCUCUUGCCCGCGCCAGCUGCUGACGGAGUAGUCGGUGAAGGGAGGCCCGUUCUUGCCGACCACUGGCGUUGCGUCGUGCUACCGAGCCUCUGCAACUGUGUCGUGAUGAUUAGCAUGAGAUGUGAAGCACACCAGAAGAAGUACCCAGACGCCAAGGUCAUCAGUUUGGGCAUCGGUGACACGACCCAACACAUACCAAGCAUCUUCACAUCUAUCAUGACCAAGGCUUUGCCCUUUAGUAAUUUCCUUGUUGGUCUGCCCGUACAGGUAUCUAGGAUUAUUGAUGGUGACAUGGAUGAUUCCUGUGGUCUGGACAAGGUUGCUUCCAGUCACUUGCCUAGCUAA
rnacentral:rRNA from 1 species